CUUCCACCAGGAUGGACGCAGCUGCAGCAGAGCUGUCGUUGACCAUGGUCAUGUCACACAGGCCACCCCUGAUGAUGGAGAAGACGGUUAAAAUGGGCAAAGGGAUCGUGGUCGCAGCGUCACGUGAAGGACCAUCUGAAUUGCAAAUCACACACCAAACAAACUUGGGGGAAUAGAGAGACCCAGCCGAAUGGGGACCCUGCACGGCCAUCCAGCAGGGGAGUCGCUGUCACAUUCCCUGGGAAAUGAAUUCUUCCUGAUGGGAGUUCCAAACUAAAGUGGCCAGGGUGUCGC
rnacentral:lncRNA from 1 species